CCCAUAACCCAGAAUGAAACUAUUGAAGUCAGAAGAGAAUACAUCCUCAAAGGUCUCUGCAUGUACCUGAAUGAAGACCCAGAGAAGCUGGUGAAGGAAUACCUGGAUGUCAAUGAAGGUGCUCAAACGGCCAUAGCAGAGACUGCGUUUGAAAUCUUUGUCCUUCAAGCAGAAGGUGCAGAGCCUGGUGAUGACCCCAUGGAUGUUGGGAGUGGAAGUGAUGAGUAACUUGGACAGUGUAUCUUUUGCUGUAGAGAUGUUGCUGGGUCUUGUCUAUGUGCUAAGAGAGGCAAGAGAGUUUAUUCCUUGUUU